UUCUCUACACGUAUACAUUUCUGUGAGAUCUCACCACUCAGAAAAGUAAAAAUGAACUACAAUGAUGAGGCACACCACUUAAGGGAGCGAAAGACGGAGCUGUUCAAGUCUUUUCAAGAUCAGCAGGAUUUGGUUGCUGUCAUCAACCAGCUGUGAGGAAAGAAACCUAACGUGCGGAAUGACAGUAAAUUGGAAAAAACCCAACAACUUUAGCAGCCUGAAACUAUCGUAGAAAUCCUUUUUCUUAUAUCAGCUGUCUUAAAAACAUAACAAAGACCCGUACUUCAUUUCUUAUCAGGGUAGAUUGCCAUUAGGCUGCAGACCUAACUGCAGAGCAAGUUAUUUUCAAAACUAUUGACCAAGAUCACCAGGACCAAGGAAGAGAUGGCCUAGUUUUGGCCUCUCAUGAUUAUUAUCCCCAGAACAAAAAUGUAGGGUACUGCCUUUGAGCAGUAACCAAUCUCUUCCCAGUGCAACAUGUUUGAUGGAAGUGGCACUUCGGAGUGUUGACACAUGAUGCAUCGGUGAUGAUUUCACAGAACACAUGUGAAAACCAUUUACUCAGUAGUGUCUCAGCGUUGGAGUAUGUGAAAAGAAGUGGAUGAAGAAGAGAAUUGAAUGAAAAAGUAAUGGACAUGUGUACGCUGAGUACAUGUGCUACUAUAUAAGAACGUUCCACACAGUGCCUUGAAGAUCUUUGUCAGUUCCAAUGCAUUCAGUCCUGCAUGUGACCAUUUUAGAACAUACUUGUGGCUACAAUAUAGCAAUGCACACUUUUUUAAAUUUUUUUGUUUUUACAUAUAACCAGGGAUUUGACAUUAUAAAAGCUCUAAUUUGUGAAUGGUUUAUGGUAUACUGGAAAUAUUAACUAUUAAACUUGUUCCAGUGGAGAUGAACCAUAUGGGCUUUCUAAGAGGCAGGGGCAUGAAAAAAUUAGACUGUUCUUUUGUGGAGUUAAGUCAGAUGGUCAUUUUAAACAAUGUAAAAAUAAACUCUUUUUUUCAUUCAGUUUACAAGACUGUUAAGUUGGAAGAGUGAAAACAUACAUUAGUUGAAAUUAGUCAUACUAAUGAUGUCAUAACACUAUACAGUGUUUAUACAAUGCUCCUGAUAAACGUGUAGCUGAAUAAUGUGCCCGAAAAUCAAAACACUGACCCCUUUCUCUCCCAAACAGCCAAAAUUAGAUCCAGAGAACAGAACAUUUAAAGACUUUACAGAUGGA